rnacentral:lncRNA from 1 species
CGUGGCUUUUAAAGAUGCUGGAAAAACACCCAUGGAGCCGGAGAUAGCAAUUCACUGAAUUCGAAUCACUCUCUAUGAGCCACAGCAUAAAAUCCCUGGAGAAGGUGUGUGCUGACUUGAUCAGAGGAGCAAAGAAAAAGAAUCUCAAAGUGAAAGGACCAGUUCAAAUGCCUACUAAGACUUUGAGAAUCGCUACAAGAAAAACUCCUUUUGGUGACGGUUCUAAGACAUGGGAUCAUUUCCAUAUGAGAAUCCACAAACAACUCAUUGACUUGCACAUCCUUUCUGAGAUUGUUAAGCAGAUUACUUCCAUCAGUACUGAGCCAGGAGUUGAGGUGGAAGUCACCAUUGGAGAUGCU